CUACAUCUACUUGUCAAAAGAAAAAUGAAUAAAUUCAGAUCUCACAACAUUUUUGAAGUUGAUGAAAAUCAUGAGGUUGUUGUAGCUGUGCCUAACUUGCACAUGAAGCCAAUUUGAUGAAGCAUGUUGUACACGUACACCUGACUUUUCUAUAUAUAUAAAUAUGUGUUGUGUGCUACAGUAGUUUGUCUUGCAUUUUACACUUUUUGUCAUGUUUAUUCCAUUGCCAUUACCAUAGAUAUUACUCUAAUAUCUAUGCCAUUACAUGUAUUGGUGGGGACUUUCCCGGGAAAAGCUCACGCCUGGCCCUAGGCUAGCAUCAGAAUCCGUCUACUAUCAGCAGCUCAUAUCCUUUUUGGCGGAAGGCUAGCUAUUUAAUGAGCACUGCAAUGGAGGGUCAUUAUUGCUACAAUGCCGUCUUCAUUAGAACUUAUCUUUACUGGUUUCUUGCCAUGCGGCUUUACCAGGUAGUGAUAACUGUGCCAUAAAUCAUACUGAGAAGUUAUCUGAUUUUGCUCCAACAACAAUACGUCUAGAAGAAUAUUAGUUAUUGUAUUCAAUGCCAGAUCAGCAAGUCUGAGCAAGACCAUAAUUCAAUGCCUAAAAAAUUUUUUUGCUUGCUUGAUCUAACUUUUAAGUUACUUAGAACAAAAGCCUACCAGUAAAAAUAGUUGUCCAUUGUCCCUCUUAAAAUAUACAAUAAUAAUUAAAUUUUACCUUUUAAAUUUAAGACACAAUUGCCAUUGGCCCUAAGACUACAACCUGCUGCAUGGGAGAAAAUAUAUCACCAAUUAAGUUAACAGACUACUGCAUGUAAUGAAGUUCAAACAAGUAAAAAUAAGUACCAGAUACAAAAGGUUUUUAAAUUACGAGGUGAAUAUUGCUGUAUUCGAUUAAUUAUACUGUACUCCCUCCUGAUAUUGACUUUAAUAUUCAACUUGUUGGUGUUAAUCCAGCUGGAGUGGGAGAACCAUUGGAACAAACAGUUUCAUUUGAGAAUUUAACUUACUUUCAACUGGGACCUUGUGAAGUUUUAUUUGAAGAGGACAAGGAGCAAGUAAUCAUUGGAUUUAUUUUCAAUGACACCAGUAGUCCAUCACUGGCUCCUGGUAAUUGUUUUAUAAGACCACAAGAGGUGGAGGUCAGCUCAAUCUGUAUACUUGG